GUCUGGGUGGCGCAAUUGGUUAGCGCGUUCGACUGUUAUCUCAAGUGAUUGAGAUCGAGAGGUUGAGAGUUCGAGCCUCUCCCUGGACG